AAGGAAUAUUGGACAAUGCCCGCAAGGGUGAUCCAGCCAUCCCGCGUGCAGGAAGACUGCCCUAUGGGUUGUAAACUGCUUUUAUCAGGGAAGAAACCCCUUGACUUGUUAAGGGUUGACGGUACCUGAUGAAUAAGCACCGGCUAACUCCGUGCCAGCAGCCGCGGUAAUACGGAGGGUGCAAGCGUUAUCCGGAAUCACUGGGUUUAAAGGGUGCGUAGGCGGCUUAAUAAGUCAGAGGUGAAAGACUACAGCUUAACUGUGGCACUGCCUUUGAUACUGUUGAGCUGGAAUCAGGUUGAAGUUAGUGGAAUGCGGCAUGUAGCGGUGAAAUGCAUAGAUAUGUCGUAGAACACCGAUUGCGAAGGCAGCUAACUGGGCUUGAAUUGACGCUGAGGCACGAAAGCGUGGGGAUCGAAC
rnacentral:rRNA from 1 species